ensembl:lncRNA
ACUUCAGAGGUCGGGAUGGCAUGAACAUGGACAGGUCACCCAUGGACAUGAGGCGGUUCGACUGCCCACCUGAUAUGAGAGGAAGAGACAUAGGUCUUCAUGACCCAGGAAGAGAGCCUUCCCGAGACUUUUUCAGACCUGGAGAUGAAAUGGAAGUGAAUUUUCGAAGGCGCUUUGAAAUGGAUCAGAGAAACAACCUUCAGAAUCCUCCAGGUUUUAUGGGUCAAUCCAGACCACCGAUGGAUAUGGGUGGCAGAGACAUGCAAGGUGGUAAUAUGAGGGGUCCAGAGGACAGAUUCUUGAAUAUGAGGGAGAGGGAGAGAUUCCAGAUGGAUAUGCCUGGGCUUCCCCCCAUGGACAUCAGGAGGAGACUUGCUAUGGUGGCUAUGGGUGGAAGUGGAGAUCAUGGGGACAUGAGAGACAGAGAGAGGCCACGGAUGGGUGGCAUUGAUGGGUUCAACAUGGACAUGCCUCCCAGAGACAGACCGAUGAUGGAUUUUGACAGGCGAGGUGUCACCCCUCCACUUAAUCCAAGAGGAAGGUUUGAAUCUGAUAUGGAUCUGAGAAGCCGCAUGGGAUCCUCCAUUGAUUUCAGAGAGCAGCCUCCUCAGAUGUUUCGAGACAAUGAUGGCGUUCCCAUGGAUAUCAGAGGAAGACCUGAUAUUCCUUUGGGUCGUGGUGGCCCAGAAGCCAUGAUCAGAGGCGAUGAGAUGACCCUCAGAGACAGAGAAUUCCCAGAGCCGAUGGACAAUCCCAUGGGCUUCAGAGGGAGAGAAAGUGAAUCGCUCUCAGACGAGUGGCGCAAUCAUGGCAUGAGAGACCGUGACCCUCUUCCGCCGAUGAUGGGCAGGACGCCACCGCUUUUCCCGAGAGAGAUGCGAGAAAAGUUCUUCUCUAACCCUGGAAAAGAUGUAGAUUUUGGAGAAAAUUCCCAGUUCAAAGACAGAGACCGAGACAGGCAGUCUGGGUUUCUGGGAAAAGAGGGCACAGGCUUUAAUCGAUCAGAAAGAGACAAAAAUAUUCCUAGUGAUUUCCCAGUCAGAGAUCCAACUCAGAAGCCCUCCCUUCUUCCACCGGAUCCCCCUCUAAAUGCCAAAAGUAGAGAUGGAGAUAAACCCUGGCCAGGUGACCGAGAUGAAAAGCCUGACAGAACUGCACUAGCAGGAAGUAGACCUCCAUAUUUCCAAGACAAGAAUAAGCCAAAUCAAGAGCAUCAUUUCGCCAGCGAUCGAGUGCCCUUUAAGGGUUCUAGUGACAUGGCUUUAGAUCAGGGACCACAGAGAGAGAGCUUGUCCGGGCCAAAGGAACCCCAGAAUAAUAGAAGUGAGCGACAGGAUCAGGAUUAUCGAGACAUUGAUUACCGCACCAGCUCAGGCCGCAAAUACGACUACAGUCUUGAGGAUCUUCAAGGACCUGAGAAAGAC